rnacentral:lncRNA from 1 species
CAACUGCCCAGUAAGAAGAUGGCGGCCUUCAUUCAGUGGUGCUGACACCAUAGUGCAGAGCAGGGGACUGGCUCAGCCAAGCUCAUGCAGGGAUAAAUUGGGGGACUGGAAGCUCCCCGCUGCAGCAAGUCCACACCAGGAUCGGGCAGGAAGUGGCCUCUUGGGCCCUGGCCCCUUUCUCGUCCAGGCACUGUUCCUCUGACUCUCCAGAAUCCUGCCAAGUACCCGUGAAGGACCCGUCUGCACUACCCUUCGAAACGUCUCAGGCCCCACCCACCUCCCCGACCAACUCCGGAAAAACCCACUCCUCGUUUGCUCUUUCCUGGCUUAAUGGCACCACCGUAUGGUCACAUGGGGCUGUGGGCCUCCUGCGGGCCAGGCCAACCCGCCAUGCCCCACUGCGAGACCUUUGCAGCCUGGACUUACAAACCCUCGUGGAGUGAACCUCACUCAAGAAUAAAGAGUUCCAAAUCAGGUCACCUAUACAUGCAGCACUCCUGUUCGCCACGCCCUGGCUUUCCUGAAUCUGCCUCCAGAAGUUGUUAACGUUUCCUUCCUAGCUUCUGCUACAGCGAUGACCAGCGUCAACAGCAAACGCAUCAGCAGACUGGCCUCAGUUGUCGCAGGAUACUCCCUGCAAUGUGCUUAGAGUCCCAGGUCCUGGGCCUGAGAGCCUGUGCAGACACUGCCUGGCCAUCGCAGGCCACUUUGAAGGAACUAUUUGAUAUUCCAGAGCUAUCUUUUUAAUGGGAUAAUAAAACAUAUCAUUUCACAAA